UAUUCAUUGUCAUUGAUUGUAUAUGACUUUUACUGAUAACAUAAUGCAAUAUAGCCAGGACAGCCUUACAGAGUCGCGACGCUUUGUGUUGCGUUGCUUCACAUUGCGUCGAGGUCUGUAUGAUCACAAAAUUCAGAGUUUACCCACCUCUAAUUUUACCACUACAGCACUGCCUAUAUGUGAUGUCUCAGUAGUGUUUGUGACUAGCAGGUGCACUGAAUGAACUGAUUAGAAAGCAACCAUGUAAUGCCUCAGGAGUCUGUAGAGGGGACGAAGACGCGUUCUGCUGCACUUAACAGAGCUCAAGACCAACGGGACGCCAUCAGGACGCCAUCAGGACGCCACGUCAACGGGACGCCAUCAGGACGCCACGUCAACGGGACGCCAUCAGGACCUCACGUCAACCCCUCAGGAGCAAAUCCAGAUCUACGCAUGACACACACACACACACCCCCACACACACACACACAGAUGUACACACAGACACACUAACAUUUGGUUCUAAACAAAGACACACACUAACAUUUAGAUGUACACAAAGACACAUUAAUAUUUAGAUGUACACACAGACACACUAACAAUUAGAUGUACACACAGACACACUAUCAUUUGGUUCUAAACAAAGACACACACUAAUAUUUAGAUGUACACACAGACACACUAACAAUUAGAUGUACACACAGACACAUCCUGAUGAUCCUCCUCACGUCUCUUCUCCUUGUCUGCAGACCAACAGGACGCCAUCAGGACGCCAUCAGGACGCCACGUCAUCGGGACGCCAUCAGGAAACCACGUCAUCGGGACGCCAUCAGGACGCCAUCAGGACACCUCGUCAACCCCUCAGGAGCAAAUCCAGAUCUACUCAUGACACACACACACACACACACACACACACACACACACACAGAUGUACUCACAGACACACUAACAUUUGGUUCUAAACAAAGACACACACUAAUAUUUAGAUGUACACAAAGACACAUUAAUAUUUAGAUGUACACACAGACACACUAACAAUUAGAUGUACACACAUACACACUAUCAUUUGGUUCUAAACAAAGACACACACUAAUAUUUAGAUGUACACAAAGACAUAUUAAUAUUUAGAUGUACAAACAGACACACUAACAUUUAGAUGUACACACAGACACACUAACAAUUAGAUGUACACACAGACACACUAACAUUUGGUUCUACACAAAGACACACACUGACAUUUAGAUGUACACAAAGACACAAUAACAAUUAGAUGUACACACAGACACAUUAGUAUUCAGAAUUACACAAAAACACACAAACAUCUGGUUCUGCACAAAAACACAUUAAUAUUUAAAUGUACCCACGGACCCACUAACAAUUAGAUCCACACACAGACACACUAACAAUUAGAUGUACACACGGACACAUCCUGAUGAUCCUCCUCACGUCUCUUCUCCUUGUCUGCAGACCAACAGGACGCCAUCAGGACGCCACGUCAUCGGGACGCUACGUCAUCGGGACACACUAACAAUUAGAUGUACACACAGACACACUAACAUUUGGUUCUAAACAAAGACACACUAACAUUUAGAUGUACAAAAAGACACACACUAAUAUUUAGAUGUACACAAAGACACACACUAAUAUUUAGAUGUACACAAAGACACACUAACAAUUAGAUGUACACACAGACACACUAACAACAUUAAUAUGUAAAUAACUUUUCUUCUUUUCUCUCUUCUCAGGAACUGCUUCAGAUGUUUUCCCAAUGAUUGUGUUAUUAUAAUUGUUAAAUAUGUCGUCUGUUUAUUAUUUUAACAAUGAAAAUAAAUUUUAAUAAAAAUAAAACCAAAUGAAUCCGUCUUGUUUUCUUCAGACCAAAGAGAAUCACAUGUUCUUUAUUACUCGUUGACUUGAAUGAAGUGAAACAACAAUGAUCUUGAGU
ensembl:lncRNA